rnacentral:rRNA from 1 species
CUAUACAUGACUCUGCGCAUAUCAAUAAGCGGAGGAAAAGAAACUAACAAGGAUUCCCCUAGUAACGGCGAGUGAAGCGGGAAGAGCUCAAAUUUGAAAUCUUAAAGGGUUUCCCUUUACGAAUUGUAGUUUAAAGAAGUGUUUUCUGUUGAGGUUUUGGUAAAAGUUCUUUGGAAUAGGACAUCAUAGAGGGUGAGAAUCCCGUAUUUGACCUUUACUUUCAACUUUGUGAUACACUUUCAAAGAGUCGGAUUGUUUGGGAAUGCAGUCCAAAAUGGGUGGUAAAUUUCAUCUAAAGCUAAAUAUUGGCGAGAGACCGAUAGCGAACAAGUACCGUGAGGGAAAGAUGAAAAGAACUUUGAAAAGAGAGUUAAACAGUACGUGAAAUUGUCAAAAGGGAAGCGUUUGACACCAGUGUUGUUUUUCUGAAAAUCAAUUAAAGAACUGUUUAUGCUAAGUUGUUUAGACUUUAUCAGCUAACUGUUUAGUUUUGAGCUUUUCUUUAAUGCACUUCUCAGUUAACAAGUCAACAUCAAUUUCUUUUGCUGUAAAAAAGCUUGAGGAAGGUGGCUUGAGAUUCGUCUUAAGUGUUUAUAGCCUCUUGCCUAUGCAGUCGGAGAGAUUGAGGUCUGCAGCGUAGAUCCUUCGGGGCUAAAUGCAUUUGUGCUAAGUUAUAGCAUUUUAUAGACAACUUGUUGACUAUGAUUUGUCUUGUAGCUUACUCGCUUAUGUUAUUUUACCUACGCUUAGGAUGUUGAGUCGUAGAGCACGCAG